rnacentral:rRNA from 1 species
UGGUGGGUUGCUUUGUCAGGUUGAUUCCGGUAACGAACGAGACCUCAGCCUGCUAAAUAGUCACGAUCGGCUCUUGCCGGUCGCCGGGCUUCUUAGAGGGACUAUCGGCGACUAGCCGAUGGAAGUGUGAGGCAAUAACA